rnacentral:rRNA from 1 species
GACGAACGCUGGCGGCGUGCUUAACACAUGCAAGUCGAACGGAAAGGCCCUGCUUUUGUGGGGUGCUCGAUUGGCGAACGGGUGAGUAACACGUGAGUAACCUGCCCUUGACUUUGGGAUAACUUCAGGAAACUGGGGCUAAUACCGGAUAGGAGCUCCUGCUGCAUGGUGGGGGUUGGAAAGUUUCGGCGGUUGGGGAUGGACUCGCGGCUUAUCAGCUUGUUGGUGGGGUAGUGGCUUACCAAGGCUUUGACGGGUAGCCGGCCUGAGAGGGUGACCGGCGACAUUGGGACUGAGGUACGGCCCAGACUCCUACGGGAGGCAGCAGUGGGGAAUAUUGCACAAUGGGCGGAAGCCUGAUGCAGCAACGCCGCGUGCGGGAUGACGGCCUUCGGGUUGUAAACCGCUUUCGCCUGUGACGAAGCGUGAGUGACGGUAAUGGGUAAAGAAGCACCGGCUAACUACGUG